rfam:Drosophila grimshawi strain TSC#15287-2541.00 scaffold_15112 genomic scaffold, whole genome shotgun sequence.
GGUGCGACCGGAUGACGGUUCACAACGACCGUGCUUAUUUUUAACUGGUCGGUGGGACUUUCGUCCGUUUGUAAC